UUGCUCUCUGUGUCUGCGUCCGUUUUUUACACCCCCUUUUGUUUUUGGCAAGCACUCGUGGUUUUGAUAGGAUUAAAUCCGAGGGUACCGUUUAAGAAUGCUGAGUGUCUUACAGGGGGCCUCUGGCCACUUGCUGAGCAUCUCAGUUCUUUUGGGAUGCGAGUGGAAUUUGUCGGAAGCCCGGCUGCCAAGUGGCUUCUGGAGAGGGGUGUGCGAUUAGAGGGGUGCUAGUCAAUUCUCCUGUUCCUUUGGGGGACAGUCUUUGGUGCUGUGUGGAUUAACCUUGAUGGGGAAUCUGUUAGUAGCUGGUAAUUUUCAGCUGCUAGAACUAGUUGUUUAGAGCUUGCCCCGUGGAUACAGGUACCUGCGACCUGCAGGUACCUUUUCAUACAUUCACUGGAGACGGUCUUAAAGAUUUUUGUUGUGAGCCGUGCCAUUGAUUAUGACCAUGAAACGCAUACAGGCUUUCUCCUCUCUGUUCCCACCCGUCUUAUGUCAUUUUCUUUAGAAAAUGUUUUUUAUUUCUAUGUUCCGUGAACGGUGGAACGGCUCUCCUUUAAAAAAUCCUGCUUAAGAAAUUGCAUUACCGUCUUCGGCUGGCGGUGUGUUGUUUUCACGACCCGCUGCCGGCAGCCUGCCUGUAGAAAUUGAAUCACUCGUAAGCCAGUUUUAAUUUUGGAAUUUUAUGAUCCAGGUAGGUAUAAUUUUUCAAAAUUAGUUUUAUACAGGCUUUUUUUCUAGCUGCCUUCAACAGGAUUCUGAAAUAGUCCUGAAAAAAAUUGCUCUUUUGCCCAGUGGUUUUAUGUUCUUUUCCCCCACUGAGGCCUGGGUCUAUGUCUGCCCUUUAGUGUGUCAUUCAGGCUGUGUAUCUGAGAGCCACUUUUUUCCCUUCAGUUUUUCUUUUUCUUCUCUGCUCUUAUGCCUGAAAGGAGGUUUUUGAUCAGCUUUCGUCCAUAUCCGAAAGUUAUAGGGACGAAGGGCUAAAUAAAUAAACAAUUUCCACAACACACCCCGUCCAUGACAGCACUUCAAGUGAGGGGUUUGUGUGGGGUGGGCUUUGGGGUUUUGCUUCAUGUAUUUGUAUAAAUAAAUAUUCCUUUGCCAUAAGAAUGUAUCACUUGAAAUAUUUUUCAUUUUUAAUGAAUCAAACUUCAUAACUUUGGAAAAUGGAGCAACAGUUCCUCUUUUUUUUUUUUUUCCCUUUUACAAAUAGCGUAAUUCCAACAUUGUGAGAUAAAAUGGCCAUGUCGAUUUUAAUCAGAAUAAAGUUGAGCCCUUUCAGAAGCAAAGUGUGGCUCCUGGUGGCCAUCCCUCCCUUCUCUGAAGUCAUUCCUUACCCUUGUGUUGCCACCACUGCGUAUUUUUUUUUUAAUUUGAUUGGCACAUAGUUGACUUACAGUGUAGUAUUAGCUUUAGCGCACAGCAAAGCCAGCUAUAUAUAUAUAUCUAUGUAUAUCGCCAUACUUCUUCAGAUUCUUUUCUCAUAUAGGUUAUUACAGCGUUUGGAGUAGAUUUCCCAGGGCUGUGCAGUAGGUCCUUGUUACUUACCUAUUGCAUACUUAGUAGGGUGUAUAUGUUAAUUCUAACCUCUGAAUUUAUCCCUUCCCCCAAUUUUCCCCAUAAGUUUGGUUUUGACAUCUUUGCCUCUGCUUCUGUUUUGUGAUUAUGUUCUUUGGUGUUAUGUUUUAUUAGAUUCCAGAUAUUAGUGAUCUCAUGUGGUAUUUGUCUUUGACUUACUUAGUCUGAUGAUUUCUAGGUCCAUCCAUACUGCUGCACAUGGCAGUGUUUUGUUCUUUUGUACCGCUAAUACUCCAUUGUGCGUCUAUACCGCAUCUUCUUUAUUCACUCCUCUGUUGAUGGACAUUUAGGUUGCUUCCACCUCCUAGAGUAAUGAAAAUAAAAACAAAAAUAAACAAAUGGGACCUCGUUAGACUUAAAAGCUCUUGCACUGCAAUGGAAACCAUACAAACAAACAGAAAGAUAACCCACAGAAUGGGAGAAAAUCUUUGCAGAUGAAGCGAGGGCUGUGAGAUUAAUCUCCAAAAUAUGUAAACCUCUCAUGCAGCUUUUAGAUCAAAAAAACACCGCACUCAAAAAAUGGUCACAAGAUCUAAAUAGACAUUUCUCCAAAGAAAACAGGCAGAUGGCUGAAAAGCACAUGAAAAGAUGCUCAACAUCACAAGUUACCCCCUCCUCAUCCCUGGAGGAAGCUUCCCUAUGGCCACCAAUCUUCACCUCUUUUCUGUCUAUGGUCCCUCUAGGUCUUAGGACCUUGCCUUUAUAAGUGAUUUCUCUCUACAUUGUGUGUGUGUGUGUGUGUGUGUGUGUGUGUGUGUGUCUGCACCAGAUCUCUCAAGUCAGCAAAUAGAUGCUCCAUUAAUUACCCCACCCCUACCCCAAGAGGCCUCGUCUCCCUGUUGCCUCUGCCUGCCUUACUGUCCCUCCCAGUUCACAGAUGUGGUUCCUUCGUAUCUUUCAUGUAUCACGUCACAUCCUACUCCCAGGGGACCCUCCCUAAUCUUCAUGCUUGAAGGAAGCAGGCAUCCUCCUUACACUAUUGUCUCUCCUUUCAUCAUCCUUUUCUUUAUAACAUUUAUGAACCUGAAUUUAUCAUCAUUUCUGUUUCCAUGCACUAAAAUGGCACUGGCACUGUCUUGGUUACUGUUUGUUUGUAGUCAUCCCCCAUGUAUUUUUGAGUGAAUGAGUGUUUUGAUACAUUGAAAGGAAAAAGUCCAUAAUGUUUUUACUUUGUCUUGUGCCAUAUAUUACAGAUGGAUUCUUUGAUGGGUGGACUAGAUGGACCAUUUUUAUGUUCUAUGAUUAUGAUAUUGUGAUUUUUGUUAGUUAGGAGCUAAAGACUGCAGAUUAUAGGUAGCGCAAACCUGUUCACUAUUAAGACGUACAUAUUUAAUUAAACCUUGUAAAUACAGUCAUGCUUCUGAGUCAUCGAUGUUUGACUGUAUCACUGCUUGUUUUGCCAAUGGUGCCAGUUUGACUUCAAAAAACUUGAUUU
rnacentral:lncRNA from 1 species